UAACAUGGCGAGUUUGAUCCUGGCUCAGAGCGAACGCUGGCGGCGUACUUAACACAUGCAAGUCGAACGAGGAUCGUCGGUGUAGCAAUACAUCGGCGGUUCUAGUGGCGCACGGGUGAGUAACACGUGGGUAACCUGUCCUCGAGUUCGGGAUACCCUCUCGAAAGGGAGGCUAAUACCGGAUACGUUCCCCGGAUUGCGAAAUCUAGGGAGGAAAGGCGGCGCAAGCUGCCGCUCAUGGAGGGGCUCGCGGCCUAUCAGCUAGUUGGUGAGGUAAUGGCUCACCAAGGCUAUGACGGGUAGCUGGUCUGAGAGGACGACCAGCCACACGGGAACUGAGACACGGUCCCGACUCCUACGGGAGGCAGCAGUGGGGAAUUUUCCGCAAUGGGCGAAAGCCUGACGGAGUGACGCCGCGUGGGGGACGAAGGCCUUCGGGUUGUAAACCCCUGUCAGAGGGAAAGAAGGGUGUCGGCGCGAUAACCGCCGGCACUUGACGGUACCUUCAGAGGAAGCCCCGGCCAACUCUGUGCCAGCAGCCGCGGUAAGACAGAGGGGGCAAGCGUUGCUCGGAAUCACUGGGCGUAAAGGGCGCGUAGGCGGGAUGGCAAGUCAGUCGUGAAAUCUCUCGGCUCAACCGAGAAACGUCGGCUGAUACUGCCGUUCUUGAGGGAUGCAGAGGAGACUGGAAUUCCCGGUGUAGCGGUGAAAUGUGUAGAGAUCGGGAGGAACACCGGUGGCGAAGGCGGGUCUCUGGGCAUUUCCUGACGCUGAGGCGCGAAAGCGUGGGGAGCAAACGGGAUUAGAUACCCCGGUAGUCCACGCUGUA
rnacentral:rRNA from 1 species